GACGAACGCUGGCGGCGCGCUUAACACAUGCAAGUCGAGCGAAGCGGCGGACGGGUGAGUAACACGUGAGUAACCUGCCUUAGACAUUGGGAUAGCCUCGGGAAACCGGGAUUAAUACCAAAUGGUCUAAGAUGGACUCGCGUCCCAUUAGCUAGUUGGUGAGGUCAAGGCCAACCAAGGCGACGAUGGGUAGCCGGCCUGAGAGGGUGAGCGGCCACAUUCGAAGUGAGAAACGGUCCAAACACUACGGGAGGCAGCAGUAGGGAAAAUUGCACAAUGGAGGGAACUGUGAUGGAGCGACGGCGUGUGAACUAAGAAGGCUGUCGAGUCGUAAAGUGUUUUUAUAUGCGAAGCGGUACCAUAAGAAAAAGCCCCGGCUAACUACGUGCCAGCAGCCGCGGUAAUAC
rnacentral:rRNA from 1 species